CUUCUCGAAACACACGAGGCUUGACCUUCUUAUCGAAUGCUUUCUUCAUUCUCUGCUGAUAUAACUGACCAUGGCACAUGGCAGUCAAUCGCUUCUCUUCAAUCAGAUUCAGCUGGUCGUAACGACUUUGAAUCCAUUCAGCGUCAGUCAACUAGGGAUUCGAGGGUAUAAUUUUUCUUUUUUCUUUCGAAAAAAAAUUAAAUUUUU
rnacentral:lncRNA from 1 species